rnacentral:rRNA from 1 species
UACGUAGGGGGCAAGCGUUAUCCGGAUUUACUGGGUGUAAAGGGAGCGUAGACGGCACUGCAAGUCCGGAGUGAAAGCCCAAGGCUUAACCAUGGGACUGCUCUGGAAACUGUGGAGCUUGAGUGCGGGAGAGGCAAGUGGAAUUCCUAGUGUAGCGGUGAAAUGCGUAGAUAUUAGGAGGAACACCAGUGGCGAAGGCGGCUUGCUGGACGAUGACUGACGUUGAGGCUCGAAAGCGUGGGGAGCAAACAGG